GAGUUUGAUCGUGGCUCAGAUUGAACGCUGGCGGCAUGCCUUACACAUGCAAGUCGAACGGUAACAGGUCUUCGGAUGCUGACGAGUGGCGAACGGGUGAGUAAUACAUCGGAACGUGCCCGAUCGUGGGGGGAUAACGAAGCGAAAGCUUUGCUAAUACCGCAUACGAUCUACGGAUGAAAGCAGGGGACCGCAAGGCCUUGCGCGAACGGAGCGGCCGAUGGCAGAUUAGGUAGUUGGUGGGAUAAAAGCUUACCAAGCCGACGAUCUGUAGCUGGUCUGAGAGGACGACCAGCCACACUGGGACUGAGACACGGCCCAGACUCCUACGGGAGGCAGCAGUGGGGAAUUUUGGACAAUGGGCGAAAGCCUGAUCCAGCCAUGCCGCGUGCAGGAUGAAGGCC
rnacentral:rRNA from 1 species